rnacentral:rRNA from 1 species
CGGAGGGUGCAAGCGUUGUCCGGAUUUAUUGGGUUUAAAGGGUGCGUAGGUGGCCUUAUAAGUCAGCGGUGAAAGUCUGCAGCUUAACUGUAGAACUGCCAUUGAUACUGUAAGGCUUGAGUACUGAUGAGGUAGGCGGAAUUGAUAGUGUAGCGGUGAAAUGCAUAGAUAUUAUCAAGAACACCGAUUGCGAAGGCAGCUUACUAAGGAGUUACUGACACUGAGGCACGAAAGCGUGGGGAUCAAACAGGAUUAGAUACCCUGGUAGUCCACGCCAUAAACGAUGAUUACUCGAUGUACGCGAUAGACUGUAUGCGUCCAAGCGAAAGCGUUAAGUAAUCCACCUGGGGAGUACGACCGCAAGGUUG